rnacentral:rRNA from 1 species
GAUUUUUGGGGAGGGCAUUGCCUGCCCAGUGACAACUGUUUAACGGCCGCGGUAUCCUGACCGUGCAAAGGUAGCAUAAUCAUUUGUUCUCUAAAUAAGGACUUGUAUGAAUGGCCGCACGAGGGUUUUACUGUCUCUUACUUCCAAUCAGUGAAAUUGACCUUCCCGUGAAGAGGCGGGAAUGCACAAAUAAGACGAGAAGACCCUAUGGAGCUUUAACUAACCAACCCAAAGAGAAUAGAUUUAACCAUUAAGGAAUAACAACAAUCUCCAUGAGUUGGUAGUUUCGGUUGGGGUGACCUCGGAGAAUAAAAAAUCCUCCGAGCGAUUUUAAAGACUAGACCCACAAGUCAAAUCACUCUAUCGCUCAUUGAUCCAAAAACUUGAUCAACGGAACAAGUUACCCUAGGGAUAACAGCGCAAUCCUAUUCAAGAGUCCAUAUCGACAAUAGGGUUUACGACCUCGAUGUUGGAUCAGGACAUCCUGAUGGUGCAACCGCUAUCAAAGGUUCGUUUGUUCAACGAUUAAAGUCCUACGUGAUCUGAGUUCAGACCGGA